rnacentral:misc_RNA from 1 species
UCUUCCCAGGCCCACCACUUUCAUCGAGUGAGCAUUCGUCUUCUGGUUACGGGGCCAUAGCUCAGCUGGGAGAGCGCGUGCUUUGCAAGCAUGAGGUCGUCGGUUCGAUCCCGUCUGGCUCCACCAGAUGGUUUGAUCACCGAGAUCUUGUACCGUCGUCCGCGAAACAUCACUUCGCAUCCUGCUAGUCUGGAUAGACAGCAAGAUGCGUGUUUUCUGACAUCGUAAAGAGGAGAUCGAUCCGAGUUGGGUCGUGCAGCGGAUUGUUGCGCGAAUCCUUCAUUAUCUCCGGAUCAUUUUCGGCGCUCGCUUUCAGCCGUGAGGUUGAAUGCGAGUUGUAAAAUGAUCCUUUUAGCGAAGCUUGACCGCCUCGCUAUCGGAACGAUCUUACGAAGCAAGCUGGUCUUUCUAGUCAAUGUCCGGCUGUGCGUAGCGUUCAUCGAGGGCGCGUGCCGUAAGGCAAUCGUACAGACAACAUUCUGCCGAGUGUGUGGACAUUGAUAAUGAGAGCAAUCAAGUGCCUUAAGGGUGUUCGGUGGAUGCCUUGGCGCUGAGAGGCGAUGAAGGACGUGCUACGCUGCGAUAAGCCGUGGGGAGCUGCGAAGAAGCUUUGAUCCGCGGAUUUCCGAAUGG